UACAGAGGUCCCGAGCGUUGUUCGGAUUCAUUGGGCGUAAAGGGUGCGUAGGCGGCGCUGUAAGUGGGGUGUGAAAUCCCGGGGCUUAACUCCGGAACUGCAUUCCAUACUGCGGUGCUUGAGGACUGGAGAGGAGACUGGAAUUUACGGUGUAGCAGUGAAAUGCGUAGAUAUCGUAAGGAAGACCAGUGGCGAAGGCGAAUCUCUGGACAGUUACUGACACUGAGGCACGAAGGCCAGGGGAGCAAACGGG
rnacentral:rRNA from 1 species